CUGAUGGUAUCAGUUUGUGGCUUGCAGUUAUAAGCAGGAGCCUUCAAAACUGCAAUUUGAAGUCUCACCCUUGGGUGUGGAUGCACUGCUUGGGAUCCUUUCCCAACUGGGACUCCAUUGCUGUUUAUAAGGGACUUCCCAGCAAUGUUCAAAAGUCUGGAUGCAGGUUGUCAGCCCAGUUUGGACUACUAUGUGCUCUGGCUUCCAGCUCCAGGGGACUCUUGACAUCAGUAUGAAAUUCAAUAGGACCUGAAAAGGGGGUCAACCAAGUCCUGUGACUUCCACAUAAAACGUGAGUGGUGCUGAUAUUCCUCUGCCAGCUCUCCAGUGACUGCAAAUAACCAAACAGAUAAAAUGUAGCUUUCAUAAAACUCGAGGUUUGGUGGAGAAUUAGCAUGAGACUUGUGCUUGCUACUUGCUAACGGAAGGUUGGCCAAGAGCUCAG